GCGGCUGCUAUACAUGCAAGUCGAACGCUUUGUGGUUCAACUGAUUUGAAGAGCUUGCUCAGAUAUGACGAUGGACAUUGCAAAGAGUGGCGAACGGGUGAGUAACACGUGGGAAACCUACCUCUUAGCAGGGGAUAACAUUUGGAAACAGAUGCUAAUACCGUAUAACAAUGACAACCGCAUGGUUGUUAUUUGAAAGAUGGUUCUGCUAUCACUAAGAGAUGGUCCCGCGGUGCAUUAGCUAGUUGGUAAGGUAAUGGCUUACCAAGGCGAUGAUGCAUAGCCGAGUUUGAGAGACUGAUCGGCCACAAUGGGACUGAGACACGGCCCAUACUCCUACGGGAGGCAGCAGUAGGGAAUCUUCCACAAUGGGCGAAAGCCUGAUGGAGCAACGCCGCGUGUGUGAUGAAGGGUUUCGGCUCGUAAAACACUGUUGUAAGAGAAGAAUGACAUUGAGAGUAACUGUUCAAUGUGUGACGGUAUCUUACCAGAAAGGAACGGCUAAAUACGUGCCAGCAGCCGCGGUAAUACGUAUGUUCCAAGCGUUAUCCGGAUUUAUUGGGCGUAAAGCGAGCGCAGACGGUUAUUUAAGUCUGAAGUGAAAGCCCUCAGCUCAACUGAGGAAUUGCUUUGGAAACUGGAUGACUUGAGUGCAGUAGAGGAAAGUGGAACUCCAUGUGUAGCGGUGAAAUGCGUAGAUAUAUGGAAGAACACCAGUGGCGAAGGCGGCUUUCUGGACUGUAACUGACGUUGAGGCUCGAAAGUGUGGGUAGCAAACAGGAUUAGAUACCCUGGUAGUCCACACCGUAAACGAUGAGUGCUAGGUGUUUGAGGGUUUCCGCCCUUAAGUGCCGCAGCUAACGCAUUAAGCACUCCGCCUGGGGAGUACGACCGCAAGGUUGAAACUCAAAGGAAUUGACGGGGACCCGCACAAGCGGUGGAGCAUGUGGUUUAAUUCGAAGCAACGCGAAGAACCUUACCAGGUCUUGACAUCCCUUGACAACUCCAGAGAUGGAGCGUUCCCUUCGGGGACAAGGUGACAGGUGGUGCAUGGUUGUCGUCAGCUCGGGGCCGGGAAAUGUGGGGUUAAGUCCCCCCAACGAGCGCCAACCCUUAUUACUAAGUUGCCAGCAUUCAAUGGGGCACUCUAGUGAGACUGCCGGUGACAAACCGAAGGAAGGUGGGGAUGACGUCAAAUCAUCAUGCCCCUUAUGACCUGGGCUACACACGUGCUACAAUGGCGUAUACAACGAGUUGCCAACCCGCGAGGGUGAGCUAAUCUCUUAAAGUACGUCUCAGUUCGGAUUGUAGGCUGCAACUCGCCUACAUGAAGUCGGAAUCGCUAGUAAUCGCGGAUCAGCACGCCGCGGUGAAUACGUUCCCGGGUCUUGUACACACCGCCCGUCACACCAUGAGAGUUUGUAACACCCAAAGCCGGUGGGGUAACCUUCGGGAGCCAGCCGUC
rnacentral:rRNA from 1 species